rnacentral:rRNA from 1 species
CCUACGGGUGGCAGCAGUGAGGAAUAUUGGUCAAUGGACGAGAGUCUGAACCAGCCAAGUAGCGUGAAGGAUGACUGCCCUAUGGGUUGUAAACUUCUUUUAUAUGGGAAUAAAACGUUCCACGUGUGGGAUUUUGUAUGUACCAUAUGAAUAAGGAUCGGCUAACUCCGUGCCAGCAGCCGCGGUAAUACGGAGGAUCCGAGCGUUAUCCGGAUUUAUUGGGUUUAAAGGGAGCGUAGGUGGAUUGUUAAGUCAGUUGUGAAAGUUUGCGGCUCAACCGUAAAAUUGCAGUUGAAACUGGCAGUCUUGAGAACAGUAGAGGUGGGCGGAAUUCGUGGUGUAGCGGUGAAAUGCUUAGAUAUCACGAAGAACUCCGAUUGCGAAGGCAGUUCACUGGACUGCAACUGACACUGAGGCUCGAAAGUGUGGGUAUCAAACAGGAUUAGAUACCCUUGUAGUC